rnacentral:lncRNA from 1 species
GGACUGAUGAGCUCCAUGGCUAGAACCCUCUAGUCCUGACUUGGUCCAUGCCAGGACCAAGAUUGAAAGUCUGAAUCUUGAGGUGGGCCUCACUGGGGCCGAGAAGAGCUUCAGCAAAGGGAGGUUGAGCCCAGCAGCUCUUCUAACAUUGGGAUUCCUGGUGGGGUCACUUCCCCUUCCUUGUCCUAGGAGUGAGUGGAGCCCCAGCCUGGCCUUGGGAAAAUGCAGGGCCUACACUAAGGUCUCAGGUCACCUGUGGAGUGAGACUGGGGGCAGGGGCUUCUGGAAGACCUGGGGCUGUG